CUCAUUCCCGAAGCCUCUCUCACUCUCAAUUCCAUCUCACAAAAUUCAACUUUCAACUCAAAAAAUCUCUAAAUCAAAGAAAACCCUAGAUCAGAAUCCCCAAAAUUGAAAUUCCGUAUCCCUUCUUCUCCCCGCGAUUUCUACUCCCGACGGGUUGCCGGAGCUUUGCCGGCAUUUUCCCCUCUGCGAAUUCUUCUUCCGGCGAGCUCCCUCUCAGAUUCCAAUCGGAACUCUCGAGUCGAGGUAGCUUCUGGAAAGGAGGCGAACUCGGCGACGCCUCUCCCUUCGCCGUCCGUCGGUCACCGCCGCCGCCAAGCUGGCUGUCCGUUUGAAACACCGCGGCCCGCUGCCGCUGCCUCUGGUCCCUUCGUUGCUGGUGUCCCACCGUCGGGCAAGGAGAGGAAGCUUCGUCUCUCUCUCUGCACCCACAGCUCCGCUCCGCCAGCACUGCUAGCCCUCCGUCGAGCUGCGGUUCCUUUGCUUUAUGCUGCAUUGCUUUAUGCUGCCUUUUUCUCCUCAAUUUCAGUUUUUGCUGCUCUCAAUCAUGAAGGUGUGGCUUUGCUGAAAUUUAAAGAUGAAAUUGUGAGUGAUCCACAUGGAGCUUUGUCAAAUUAGAUUGAUGAAAUUGGAUUGGAGAAUCCUUGUUCUUGGUCUGGUGUUGGCUGCUCAAAGGGAUAUGUUGUUGAUUUGAACCUCGAAGAUCUUUAUUUGAGAGGUACUUUGUCUCCUCAUAUUGGGAUCAUAAUUCACUUGAAAUCUCUGUAAGAUUGUAUUGAAAUAGUUCAAAUUCAUUCCCAAUUUUGUAGCUUGUUUGCAGUUUGAUUUUCUUUGAGUUGUUUGUUUGAAGAAUUCUGCGAAACAACUCGUUUUCGGGUGUGAUCCCUGAAGAAAUCACACACAUAAAAGGAUUGGAGGUGUUGGAUGUUGGAUAUAACAACUUCAGUGGGAAGCUCCCUUGUAGUCUAGGCAACAAUUUUUCGACGACACUUCUGUACGUUGGACUAAACCGAAGCAUGCUCGUUUCCUUUGGUAGAACGCAUUUUUCUGUGUCUGAUGAAUAGAAAUCUUGUCUGAUGCUCGUUUCCUUUGGUAGAACUAAAUCUGACUAGAUGAAGAAUCGAACAUUUUUUAACUAAGAGAGAGUAUUGGAGCUUGAUAAAGGGCUGCUGGAAACAGAUGCAAGAGUGGUCAAGCUUGAGGAAGAGCUGCUGGAAAUAGAGGAAACGGACAAGUAAGAGUGUUUGUAAAUUCAUUAACAAUUUGAGCUCGGUGUGAUAAAUUUUCUUUGUCCUGAAGAGCAGAAACACAUGAUGUUGAUGCGAAGAUGAAGUUAACCAAGUAUACUAGUGCGGAUGAGAAUGCAAUAAGGAGCUUCUAAGAGAAAACCUAACUGAUAGAUAAAUUGUAUACUCAUUUAGAACCUUUUUUGUACCUUUUUUUUAUUUAAUAUUGUAUAUUUUGAUUUCAUGAAAAGUAUUACAUAAGUUAUUUAUAUAAAAAUAUGUUUUGUAUUUGAA